ACUAAAUUUGAGAGCUAAACACAAGAGAAAUAGAGAGUGUUAGGAAUCAAACAGAAGUGAGAGAGUUUAGGAACUAGAAAAUAGAGCCUAGUGAGGGGUGUGCAUUGCAGAAUAGGAAUUCACUUCUUCCCAGUUAAGGUGAGUUCGUUCCUUUUUUUCUUGUGUGGUUCUUUCUUUCCUUGAUGUCUUACAAUCGUCCUUAAAUAGUUUUAAGCACAUAAAUCACCACACCAAGCUUCAAACCUUAAGCUCUUCUCUGCUGCACCUAAAUAGAGGAUCUGUAUAGGAAAGUUGCAAUUAGCGUUUCCUAUUUUGGAGACAAUUUCCUCGUGUGUUUACCUUGAUUCUUCGUGCAUCAGUGAGGAAUGCUUUUGGGACUUGUAAGCAAAUUAAAGUGGAUUGGAACAAGAUUUGGGCGAAAAAGGGUCGAAACAUGAAGAUGUGGAAGACAUGGCCAUAACACAUGACUAUAUGUUACAGAGCCAACGUUUCUGUUUCUGAAGCAGAGUGAGACAUAACCAUGUUCCUAGAAGACACGGUCAUAUGCCCUAUACUUAGUUAACACACGACCAUGUGUUAAGAAAGCAACAUUUCUAUUUUGCUCGGUGAAAGAGACACGACCGUGUCGUGUUUAAAAAUUAGAAAUUGACGUAAUUUUGAGGAAGACACGGCCGUAUGUCAAUUCGACACGGCCGUGGGAUGUGCCAAAUUAAAAAAUUAGGUCUUGAACGCUAUAAAAAGGAUAGGAGCCCAAAAAGAAAAAGAAACUGAAGGAGGAGAAAAGAGAAGAUGACUGCAAACAUAAAGAACUUCUUCUAAUCAGUUAUUCUUAAUUGUUUCAUAUUUCCUUUAGAUUUCACUCUUGCAAUGUUUUUUAGGAUGUGUAACUAAAUUAUUCUAUUGGGAUCUUUGAUAAAACCCUAA